rnacentral:tRNA from 1 species
AUAAACAUGUUUUAUGCUUUUUUAAAAGUUAGAAGCUUUUUUAAAAUAUUUCUUU